AUUUAGGGCCUGAUCCAAAGCCCACUGAAGUCAAUGGCAGUCUUUCCAUUGACUGCAAAGGGUUCUGCAUCAGGCCGUUCAU
rnacentral:pre_miRNA from 1 species